CUAUACAUGCAGUCGAACGCUUCUUUUUCCACCGGAGCUUGCUCCACCGGAAAAAGAGGAGUGGCGAACGGGUGAGUAACACGUGGGUAACCUGCCCAUCAUAAGGGGAUAACACUUGGAAACAGGUGCUAAUACCGUAUAACAAUCAAAACCGCAGGGUUUUGAUUUGAAAGGCGCUUUCGGGUGUCGCUGAUGGAUGGACCCGCGGUGCAUUAGCUAGUUGGUGAGGUAACGGCUCACCAAGGCCACGAUGCAUAGCCUACCUGAGAGGGUGAUCGGCCACAUUGGGACUGAGACACGGCCCAAACUCCUACGGGAGGCAGCAGUAGGGAAUCUUCGGCAAUGGACGAAAGUCUGACCGAGCAACGCCGCGUGAGUGAAGAAGGUUUUCGGAUCGUAAAACUCUGUUGUUAGAGAAGAACAAGGAUGAGAGUAACUGUUCAUCCCUUGACGGUAUCUAACCAGAAAGCCACGGCUAACUACGUGCCAGCAGCCGCGGUAAUACGUAGGUGGCAAGCGUUGUCCGGAUUUAUUGGGCGUAAAGCGAGCGCAGGCGGUUUCUUAAGUCUGAUGUGAAAGCCCCCGGCUCAACCGGGGAGGGUCAUUGGAAACUGGGAGACUUGAGUGCAGAAGAGGAGAGUGGAAUUCCAUGUGUAGCGGUGAAAUGCGUAGAUAUAUGGAGGAACACCAGUGGCGAAGGCGGCUCUCUGGUCUGUAACUGACGCUGAGGCUCGAAAGCGUGGGGAGCAAACAGGAUUAGAUACCCUGGUAGUCCACGCCGUAAACGAUGAGUGCUAAGUGGUGGAAGGGUUUCCGCCCUUCAGUGCUGCAGCUAACGCAUUAAGCACUCCGCCCUGGGGAGUACGACCGCAAGGUUGAAACUCAGAGGAAUUGACGGGGGCCCGCACAAGCGGUGGAGCAUGUGGUUUAAUUCGAAGCAACGCGAAGAACCUUACCAGGUCUUGACAUCCUUUGACCACUCUAGAGAUAGAGCUUCCCCUUCGGGGGCAAAAUGACAGGUGGUGCAUGGUUGUCGUCAACUCCUGUCGUGAGAAGUUGGGUUAAUCCCCCCACCAGCGCACCCCUUAUUGUUAUUUGCCCCCAUUCAAUUGGGGACCCUUCCAAAAAGGCCGGUGAAAAACCGGAGAAAAGGGGGGGGUGA
rnacentral:rRNA from 1 species